GUUUGUCCUUGUUUCAGCGAAGAGAGAGGUAUCAUUGGCUUUGGCAGAUUCUUUAUCUAUCCACAACAGUAAUAAAGAUUGCACCAUUAACCAUCUCUGCAUGGAAGACAAAAAAGUUGAAAAUGACAUUUUCUUGACUUAUAUUACGAAAAGAGUCUAGUCAGAGACUCUUAACCUCAGGCGAUCUGAGUAAUCUCCUCCGGGGAGCCAAACUAAACUUUGUGGAGCGGCUAGUCUUUGCUUCCAUGGCUUCUUCCUCUUCCUGGUCAAACAUAAUAAAACAGGAUUCCCUACUUACUCAUUCUUGCUGAAACAGAGGAGAUGCUAUGAAUACGCAUCCGACAGAUUUUGUCCAAAAAAUCUAAUCGAAUCUUCAUUUGACUUAAUUUUACCUUUUUGUUAUUGUGUUGUUUCUUUUGAAUUCUGUGGUUGUGGCUUACACGCUUGGCGUCAUCAAGUUUUCUCUUGGUAGCAUACUCUCA